GUGACUGCGUACCUUUUGUAUAAUGGGUCAGCGACUUAUAUUCUGUAGCAAGGUUAACCGAAUAGGGGAGCCGGAGGGAAACCGAGUCUUAACCGGGCGUUAAGUUGCAGGGUAUAGACCCGAAACCCGGUGAUCUAGCCAUGGGCAGGUUGAAGGUUGGGUAACACUAACUGGAGGACCGAACCGACUAAUGUUGAAAAAUUAGCGGAUGACCUGUGGCUGGGGGUGAAAGGCCAAUCAAACCGGGAGAUAGCUGGUUCUCCCCGAAAGCUAUUUAGGUAGCGCCUCGUGAAUUCAUCUCCGGGGGUAGAGCACUGUUUCGGCUAGGGGGCCAUCCCGGCUUACCAACCCGAUGCAAACUGCGAAUACCGGAGAAUGUUAUCACGGGAGACACACGGCGGGUGCUAACGUCCGUCGUGAAGAGGGAAACAACCCAGACCGCCAGCUAAGGUCCCAAAGUCAUGGUUAAGUGGGAAACGAUGUGGGAAGGCCCAGACAGCCAGGAUGUUGGCUUAGAAGCAGCCAUCAUUUAAAGAAAGCGUAAUAGCUCACUGGUCGAGUCGGCCUGCGCGGAAGAUGUAACGGGGCUAAACCAUGCACCGAAGCUGCGGCAGCGACGCUGAUGCGUUGUUGGGUAGGGGAGCGUUCUGUAAGCCUGCGAAGGUGGCCUGUGAGGGUUGCUGGAGGUAUCAGAAGUGCGAAUGCUGACAUAAGUAACGAUAAAGCGGGUGAAAAGCCCGCUCGCCGGAAGACCAAGGGUUCCUGUCCAACGUUAAUCGGGGCAGGGUGAGUCGACCCCUAAGGCGAGGCCGAAAGGCGUAGUCGAUGGGAAACGGGUUAAUAUUCCCGUACUUGGUGUUACUGCGAAGGGGGGACGGAGAAGGCUAUGUUGGCCGGGCGACGGUUGUCCCGGUUUAAGCGUGUAGGUGUGUGUUCCAGGUAAAUCCGGUUCACUUUAACACUGAGGCGUGAUGACGAGGCACUACGGUGCUGAAGCAACAAAUGCCCUGCUUCCAGGAAAAGCCUCUAAGCAUCAGGUAACAUCAAAUCGUACCCCAAACCGACACAGGUGGUCAGGUAGAGAAUACCAAGGCGCUUGAGAGAACUCGGGUGAAGGAACUAGGCAAAAUGGUGCCGUAACUUCGGGAGAAGGCACGCUGACACGUAGGUGAAGUGAUUUACUCAUGGAGCUGAAGUCAGUCGAAGAUACCAGCUGGCUGCAACUGUUUAUUAAAAACACAGCACUGUGCAAACACGAAAGUGGACGUAUACGGUGUGACGCCUGCCCGGUGCCGGAAGGUUAAUUGAUGGGGUCAGCGCAAGCGAAGCUCCUGAUCGAAGCCCCGGUAAACGGCGGCCGUAACUAUAACGGUCCUAAGGUAGCGAAAUUCCUUGUCGGGUAAGUUCCGACCUGCACGAAUGGCGUAAUGAUGGCCAGGCUGUCUCCACCCGAGACUCAGUGAAAUUGAACUCGCUGUGAAGAUGCAGUGUACCCGCGGCAAGACGGAAAGACCCCGUGAACCUUUACUAUAGCUUGACACUGAACAUUGAGCCUUGAUGUGUAGGAUAGGUGGGAGGCUUUGAAGUGUGGACGCCAGUCUGCAUGGAGCCGGCCUUGAAAUACCACCCUUUAAUGUUUGAUGUUCUAACGUGGACCCGUGAUCCGGGUUGCGGACAGUGUCUGGUGGGUAGUUUGACUGGGGCGGUCUCCUCCUAAAGAGUAACGGAGGAGCACGAAGGUUGGCUAAUCCUGGUCGGACAUCAGGAGGUUAGUGCAAUGGCAUAAGCCAGCUUGACUGCGAGCGUGACGGCGCGAGCAGGUGCGAAAGCAGGUCAUAGUGAUCCGGUGGUUCUGAAUGGAAGGGCCAUCGCUCAACGGAUAAAAGGUACUCCGGGGAUAACAGGCUGAUACCGCCCAAGAGUUCAUAUCGACGGCGGUGUUUGGCACCUCGAUGUCGGCUCAUCACAUCCUGGGGCUGAAGUAGGUCCCAAGGGUAUGGCUGUUCGCCAUUUAAAGUGGUACGCGAGCUGGGUUUAGAACGUCGUGAGACAGUUCGGUCCCUAUCUGCCGUGGGCGCUGGAGAACUGAGGGGGGCUGCUCCUAGUACGAGAGGACCGGAGUGGACGCAUCACUGGUGUUCGGGUUGUCAUGCCAAUGGCACUGCCCGGUAGCUAAAUGCGGAAGAGAUAAGUGCUGAAAGCAUCUAAGCACGAAACUUGCCCCGAGAUGAGUUCUCCCUGAGACUUAGAGUCUCCUGAAGGAACGUUGAAGACGACGACGUUGAUAGGCCGGGUGUGUAAGCGCAGCGAUGCGUUGAGCUAACCGGUACUAAUGAACCGUGAGGCUUAACCUUACA
rnacentral:rRNA from 1 species